UGACGGUACCCUACUAGAAAGGAGCCGCUAACUUCGUGCCAGAAGCGUCGGUAAUACGGGGGCUCCAAGCGUUAUCCGGUGUUAUUGGGCGUAAAGAGUCGUGUAGGUGGUUGGGUAAGUUAUCUUUCAAAUAUCUUUGCUUAACAAAGAGGAGGGGGAUAAUACUGCUCGACUAGAAUUUUCUCAAGGGAGAUCGGAACUGAGGGAGGAGUAGUGAAAUGCGUUGAUACCCUCGGGAACACCAGUGGCGUAGGCGGAUCUCUGGGAGAAGAUUGACACUGAGACACGAAAGCUAGGGGAGCGAAGCAGAUUAGAGACCUGCGUAGUCCUAGCCGUAAACGCAUGCUUGCUAGCUGCAUGAAUCUACCUUCGGGUGGUAUCGUGUGGCGAAGGUAACCCGUUAAGCAAGCCGCCUGGAAAGUACGGCCGCAAGGCUGAAAUUCAAAGGAAUUGGCGGGGAGGCACACAGCCAGUGGAACAUGUGGUUUAAUUCGAGACUAACCGAAGAACCUCACCAGGGUUUGACAUGUAGCUGCACGUCUUAAGAAAUUAAGACUCUCUUGAAGGUGCUACACAGGUGCUGCAUGGCGGUCGUCAGCUCGUUCCGUGAGGAGUGCCCUUAAGUGGGACAACGAGCGCAACCCCUAUUACAUGUUAGAAAUGUCAUGUAAGACUGCCUUGCCAUUUGGCGGGGAGGAAGGGGGGGCAGACGUCAAGUCCGCAUGGUCCUUAUGCCCUGGGCUACACACAUGUUACAAUGAGUACGGCAAUGAGUCUGUCGCGAGCACGUAAGUGUAAGCUAAUCUCUUAAAUGUACUCUCAGUGGGGAUUGAGGUCUGCAACUCGACCUCAUGAACACGGAAUUGGUAGUAAUCGCGGGUCAGCUAUACCGCGGUGAAUACGUUCUUGCCUCUUGCACACACCGCCCGUCAAACCAGCAAAGUCGAUUGUAUCCGAACCUC
rnacentral:rRNA from 1 species